CAUUUUUCCUUGUGUUUAUCAAGGCUCAGGCUGCCUUGAUGGUGUGAUGCAUAUGGCAUCUACAGCCGCUCCCUGCAAGCAAGGUGGUUCUCCAACCACCCGGGCUGCAACCACACGUCCACCAUUUGUUCCCAGCACCGGGUAUAGGCUCGGCACCACCACGGAGGCACCUACAUCAUCAAGUGUGUCACAUAUAACAAAAGAAAUUAAGCGUAAUUAAUCUCAAAAAUAGUAAAUAUUAACUUUCUG
rnacentral:lncRNA from 1 species